rnacentral:rRNA from 1 species
AGAGUUUGAUCAUGGCUCAGAUUGAACGCUGGCGGCAGGCCUAACACAUGCAAGUCGAGCGGUAGAGAGAAGCUUGCUUCUCUUGAGAGCGGCGGACGGGUGAGUAAUGCCUAGGAAUCUGCCUGGUAGUGGGGAUAACGUUCGGAAACGGACGCUAAUACCGCAUACGUCCUACGGGAGAAAGCAGGGGACCUUCGGGCCUUGCGCUAUCAGAUGAGCCUAGGUCGGAUUAGCUAGUUGGUGGGGUAAUGGCUCACCAAGGCGACGAUCCGUAACUGGUCUGAGAGGAUGAUCAGUCACACUGGAACUGAGACACGGUCCAGACUCCUACGGGAGGCAGCAGUGGGGAAUAUUGGACAAUGGGCGAAAGCCUGAUCCAGCCAUGCCGCGUGUGUGAAGAAGGUCUUCGGAUUGUAAAGCACUUUAAGUUGGGAGGAAGGGUUGUAGAUUAAUACUCUGCAAUUUUGACGU